AUCAAUUCCCAAAUUAAACCCUAACACACCUACCCCUCAUCUCAUCGUAUUCAACAUUUGUCUCACACUCGUCUCUUGCUCCUCUAUCAUUAGACUGCACCAUCUCAUUCUCUCACUUUGAAGACCUCAAACGGCAAGAGGUGAGGUAUGUCUUCUUUUCUCCCUCUCGCUCUCUUGCGCCGCCGACUACACUCCCUUGAACGGCGAUGUUUGAACGACGCUGCCCCUUCGUCUCUUGCACAGCUGAUCGCGAGCAGAGCCAAUCAUGUCCUUCUCUCUGGUCGUUGCCCUCUCUCUAGUUAUUGCCCUCUUCCCAUCAGUCUCCUCAAUCUUCCUUCCUCUGCCAGACUCGAUCUUAAGCCAAAAGAAGUGGUAGUGACAAUAUUUGCAAAGGGUGUACCAGCAGAAAAUGUUUCUAUCAACUUCGGAGAACAGAUAGUAGCUAAGUGUUACUCUUGAUGUCCCUGGUGAAAAAAAGUACCAUUUUCAGCCAAGACUAUUUGGAAAGACAAGAAAUGCAGCAACGUUAGUUGCUCCAGCUAUUGCCGCGGGUUUAGGUGACACAUACAUUGGGCACUCUCGUCCUUGUGAUAGGAGCAAGUGGAUUUGCUACAGCUACAGCUGCAACCGCUAUAGGAACUGUUGUCGGUAGUUUUAGAUAAUCUCUUAAUAGUUGUCGAUAUGUUUAAAGAGUUAGAUAUGCAUAGUUUUGGAUGGUUUAAAUUUUUUGUACAAUUUAGAACUUAAGGAUAUAGUUUUCUAAUGUUUGGAAUG